rnacentral:rRNA from 1 species
AAGGGUGAGGAACACGUGAACAACCGUGCCGUUCGAGGUUGGGAUAGCUUCGUAGGAAACGGGAGAUAAUACCGAAUAACAUCAACGGGUCGCAUGACCUGUUGAUCAAAGCAGCAAUGCGCUUGAAGAGGGGUUCGCGUCCCAUUAGCUAGUUGGUGAGGUAACGGCCCACCAAGGCGAUGAUGGGUAGCUGGUCUGAGAGGACGAUCAGCCACAUUGGGACUGAGAUACUGCCCAGACUCCUACGGGAGGCUGCAGUCGAGAAUUUUGGGCAAUGGACGAAAGUCUGACCCAAGCAAUGCCGCGUGCGGGAUGAAGGUCUUCGGAUUGUAAACCGCUGUCAAGAGGGACGAAAUAUGACGGUACCUCUGGAGGAAGCCACGGCUAACUACGUGCCAGCCGCCGC